rnacentral:rRNA from 1 species
UACGUGGGGUGCGAGCGUUGUCCGGAAUUACUGGGCGUAAAGAGCUCGUAGGUGGUUUGUCGCGUUGUCCGUGAAAACUCACAACUCAAUUGUGGGCGUGCGGGCGAUACGGGCAGACUGGAGUACUGCAGGGGAGACUGGAAUUCCUGGUGUAGCGGUGGAAUGCGCAGAUAUCAGGAGGAACACCGGUGGCGAAGGCGGGUCUCUGGGCAGUAACUGACGCUGAGGAGCGAAAGCGUGGGGAGCGAACAGG